GAAAUGUUAUUUUUUAUGUACAAAAAUAAAAAGAAAGGAAGAAAUACAUCACAAUAUGAAGCUGUCCCCAUGCUCUUCUGGUGUGAACCUCACCUUUAUUACAUGUGACGUGUAUGUGGCAGUGCAGGAAGUGUGUUGCAAAGGAAAGAGUUGUAGGAUGACACUAUACAUAUCAGAAGAACCUGUGUCAUCAAGUUUCUGUGGACCUACUUGAAAUGAAGACCCUGAAAAAGUAGUCAAGGCAUAUUUGGAUUCAGACAUGGAGUCACAAAGUUCCAGGGAGCAAACUGUGAUGGGAGUGUAUGACAUACUGAAGGAGGGAGCGCUGCCUGACGAUGACCCACAUGACACUGGUGUCCGUAUUGAAGGUGUGGAAGUCCUGAGUGACU